GUGACCUCAAAUCAGGUAGGACUACCCGCUGAACUUAAGCAUAUCAAUAAGCGGAGGAAAAGAAACUAACAAGGAUUCCCCUAGUAACUGCGAGUGAAGCGGGAAAAGCUCAAAUUUAAAAUCUGGCGGUCUUUUGGCUGUCCGAGUUGUAAUCUAGAGAAGUGUUAUCCGCGCUGACG
rnacentral:rRNA from 1 species